rnacentral:lncRNA from 10 species
CGAGGCCCCGCGCCAGAUCACAGAACUGUGAAGUGAUCCUGGGCAGAGUUGUAUUUAGGACCAAGACAUCUGACAGCAUCACUGGGCCUUCUUUCAGAGAACAAUUGGCACACUUGAAUGCAACGGAGUGGAUAGGUGACAGCUCCUUCCCACGGCAGCUGUGGCAGCUCCAGCUUUCUGUCUAAUCAAAUUAGUUCCUCUCUGCACUCAAACAAGUCAGAAGCAAUCAUCUCCGAAUCCACGCGCAGUGAGCAAAUGCAAACACUGUCAUGGUGUGACGCUAGUAGGACAAGAGGUGAAGGCUGCUAAUAAAUACAGACAUACCAUGUGGCUAUAAUAAGCCACUUAGAAAAAUAGUGGAUAUAGAUUUUCUGUCUUUUACUUAAUCUAUUUUCUUUCCCACAAGGGAGAGACCAGGCAGCUAUCGAGGGAGGAUAAAUGCACUUGCGUUGUGGACGCUCUGCUUCUCUGCUAUUCCCAUUGUUUUCCCGGUGGAGAUGGCACCAGUCUCUAGCCAUUACUGGGCCUAUUGUCUCCCCAUAGGUUUCCUAGAGUCACUAGCUCUGGAUAGCCCAUUUAGCAGUAUCACCAAUGCCACUUGGCUUCUGUAUGAUGAGAGCAGGGAGUCAGCUACGAUAAAGGAAGCCUGUUUUGAGAGACUUCUCCUAAUAUUAACAAGUACAAAGGAAUAAUGGAUUUGAGAAGCAGAAACAUGACCCA